CAUAUUUCAAAAGAUAAAAUUGUGUUCACACCCUUGACUAACACACCACUCAAGCCAAAGAUAGAAAAGAUUUUCAAAAGUUCACCUUUAAGGAUAAAAGAUCUUGGAGAAGAUGAGAACAUUCAAAGGAAUUCUACUAUCAAAGAAACUGAAGAUCUCAAAAGAAAAAGAACUUCCAAUGAGUGUGGCAAGGAGAAAUGGAUCUGAAUUUUUAUUGGAGUUGCUACGAAGUUUUUGUGCACAAACCUGAUGAUUUUUUUUGGUCUUCAGAUCCAGUUCAGAAAAGCUUAAUACCUUAGUGACUUUCUAUAUGAUAUUUGCUUUGAAACACUCAGUGUGGUUAUAUGUAUUAGUCUAACUUUAAGGUUAUUUUGGAGUAAGUACUUUACUAUGUUUAAGAUCUCACAUGCAUGAAUGAAUGGUAGUUGAAUAUUGAGCAUGGUCCUGUGUUUAUGUGCGCAUAAUAUUAUAGCAAUUUCCAUGUUUAUGCAGCCUUUUUUCCUAUGUCUAUGUAGAGAAAAUACCCUCUCAACAUUUACUCAAGCAGUUCCCUGCCUUUAGUAUGAAGAAAAGACACAAAAGAGAGUUAUGACUUCAAAAUUGAACUAACAAUGCUCAUCUUAAGCAGGUAUGAUUUCAUUGAGCAACUUAUAGGCUAUUUAUGUAUAUGCCCAAAUUAAUUUAUGAAGGCUUCGGAAGCAACAAUUUAUGAUGUUGUAUAUUUCGAAGCUCUACGAACUUCACAGGUAAUACAAAUCUAUCAAUUUAUUCAGAUUAUAAAGUUAUUGUUGCUGACUACAUGAUAAAACAAGUUCUAUCAAUUAUAAAGGCUACAUGAUAAAACCAAUUCUUUCAACUAUGUAUGAUUAAACUCAUAAGCUACAAAAUAGCACCAAUUCCUACUAAAAUUAGAACUAAACAAGCUCGAAUUCAUCAGCAAAAUCUAUGAGGACUUACUAGAGCUCAGGAUAAAAAUAGAUUGGUCAUAAAAGAUUGCCUCUCCUAUAAAACUAUGAUGCAAUGUAGGCUGCUAUUAUGAGGGAUUACAUCACCCAAACAUUGUAAUAUCAAUGUAGGUGGCAUUCCACACAGAAUUGCCUCGCCUAAACAUUACAUAAUUAAUUAAAAUAGGAUGCAUUCUCAGUUUGUUAUCAUCAUCACUGCCCAUCUAAAAAAA